CAUGCAGUCGAACGCUUCUUUUUCCCCCGGAGCUUGCUCUCCCUUGGAAAGAGGAGUGGCGGACGGGUGAGUAACACGUGGGUAACCUGCCCAUCAGAAGGGGAUAACACUUGGAAACAGGUGCUAAUACCGUAUAACAGUUGAUGCCGCAUGGUUUUGAUUUGAAAGGCGCUUUCGGGUGUCGCUGAUGGAUGGACCCGCGGUGCAUUAGCUAGUUGGUGAGGUAACGGCUCACCAAGGCCACGAUGCAUAGCCGACCUGAGAGGGUGAUCGGCCACACUGGGACUGAGACACGGCCCAAACUCCUACGGGAGGCAGCAGUAGGGAAUCUUCGGCAAUGGACGAAAGUCUGACCGAGCAACGCCGCGUGAGUGAAGAAGGUUUUCGGAUCGUAAAACUCUGUUGUUAGAGAAGAACAAGGAUGAUAGUAACUGAACGUCCCCUGACGGUAUCUAACCAGAAAGCCACGGCUAACUACGUGCCAGCAGCCGCGGUAAUACGUAGGUGGCAAGCGUUGUCCGGAUUUAUUGGGCGUAAAGCGAGCGCAGGCGGUUUCUUAAGUCUGAUGUGAAAGCCCCCGGCUCAACCGGGGAGGGUCAUUGGAAACUGGGAGACUUGAGUGCAGAAGAGGAGAGUGGAAUUCCAUGUGUAGCGGUGAAAUGCGUAGAUAUAUGGAGGAACACCAGUGGCGAAGGCGGCUCUCUGGUCUGUAACUGACGCUGAGGCUCGAAAGCGUGGGGAGCAAACAGGAUUAGAUACCCUGGUAGUCCACGCCGUAAACGAUGAGUGCUAAAUGUUGGAGGGUUUCCGCCCUUCAAUGCUGCACCUAACGCAUUAAGCACUCCCCCCGGGGGAGUACAACCCCCAGGUUGAAACUCAAAGGAAUUUAAGGGGGCCCCCAAAACCGGGGAACAGUGGGUUUA
rnacentral:rRNA from 1 species